rnacentral:lncRNA from 1 species
GAGGAACUUAAAAGAUAGAAUGAUAGAAUAUAAAAGGGACAUAAAAAGAGCUAAUCUAAAUACAGUGCUAGCCAAAAAAGCAUAUGAAGGGAACAUCAAAUGGGAAGAAGGAAAAAUAAUUAAAACAAUACAUAACCCAGAAGUACUGUACACAGCAGAAAAUAUCCAGAUUUUCAAAGGGCAGAGAGAAGCCCGAGUAGUUAACGAUAAACAAAUAGACACCCUGAGAAAAUCUUGGAGAUAUCUCCUAAGAUAGCAAGUAUGUAUAUACAAAGAAGAUAUGGUAACAUCUGCCAAUGUAAGGCAAAAUUUUAAAAUUAAGAAAAGAAAAAAGAAGAACC